UCGUAAGUCGUCGCACCCUUAUGCGCUGCGGCGGCGAGCUUCGUUCGGCCCUUGAUGGAGCUGCGAAGUUUCACCAGAAAAAGGAA
rfam:Pseudomonas putida S11 PPS11_c253, whole genome shotgun sequence.